GACGAACCGUGCGAACGUUGUUCGGAAUCACUGGGCUUAAAGGGCGCGUAGGCGGUUGAUCAAGUCUGGGGUGAAAUCUUUCGGCUUAACCGGAAAAGUGCCUUGGAUACUGGUCAGCUGGAGGGAGGUAGGGGCAGUUGGAACUUCCAGUGGAGCGGUGAAAUGCGUUGAUAUUGGAAGGAACGCCGGUGGCGAAAGCGGCAGACUGGACCUCUUCUAACGCUGAGGCGCGAAAGCUAGGGGAGCAAACGGG
rnacentral:rRNA from 1 species